CUCGCGGUUCGUGCGGCCGCGCCAUCGUGGGAGCCCGUGCGCGGCGCUGGAGGCGAGUGGCGCGGCGGGGGGCGGCCUCGGCGGGCGGUGUCCCGGCGGGCAGGUGCUUUGGCUCCCCCGGCCCGCGAGGGCAUGAGCUUAACGUUACCCCCCCCCAACCCAAGCUUAGGUUGGUCAUGCGGUGUGUGCGUUACCCUCGUUAAGUUUUUUUUUUCUCAGUGUAAAAUGGCUUUGCUGGGAAAUGUGUAAAUUUGGCUGAUACUUUUUCCCCUCAGUUCUUCCUCGUCCUYCCAGGUUUUAGCCUUGGUGUUUAAAGUAACCCGUUCCCUACUGCUGCUUCAAUUUAAUGGUGAUAGUGACUGYAUAUCACUCUUCCUGGCUGUGGUCACAGUACCAUUAAAUGCUAUAUCCACUUACAGGGAAAAAAAUCAUAACCCCUGGCAGCUUCUUACACUUUGCUUAUGUGUUGCACCUGGUUCUUGUUGUAUUUUUAUAUUUGCAUAUGUUGUAAUUUUCCUACUCUCCCUGUGCAGUGGGUUGAUUGCAGUGCUGUAGCAAAAGUGUUACCUCCCUUCUCUGCUCUGGUUUCUGCUGAACUGUGGAAGGACACRGUAACAGAAAUGAACUUACGAGCUUACGUGGAGUACAUUGAAGAACUGGGAGGAGAAUGUAAAUCAGAGGUUGUAUUGGAAGUUCUCGGAGUUUGAUUCAAAUCUUGAAAUAGUCGCAAUGUAAAGUGGCCGGUACAGUUGGGGACAGAACACAUCAAAGCCUGACGGGAUGGCACUGAAUCCCAUGUAGUCUAAUGGGAAUGGAGCAUGCCGGGCAUGACRUGAGCUCAAGCCUGUGAUUUUUCUUAGAUGAGCCCCCUUCUUCAAGUUCUUUGCCAAAGUAGAUUCCUAGACUGAACAUCUUGUCAAAAUCAGGGGGAGUAUUUCCGUUACCUUCUGUAUAGUUUGGGUUGGAACUGAAAGUCCUAAACUUAGACUGCAAAGUAUGAUGUGUGAGGUUUUAAAAACUGUUACCUAUUAAUGAAGUCAUUGUGAAUUGAGAGUACUUUACCACCAGGAGGCAUGCAGCACCUGUUGGGCA
rnacentral:lncRNA from 1 species